GAGACUCUGUGCGCGUGCAUAUCAAUAAGCGGAGGAAAAGAAACUAACAAGGAUUCCCCUAGUAACGGCGAGUGAAGCGGGAAGAGCUCAAAUUUGAAAUCUUAAAGGGUUUCCCUUUACGAAUUGUAGUUUAAAGAAGUGUUUUCUGUUGGAGUUUCGGUAAAAGUUCUUUGGAAUAGGACAUCAUAGAGGGUGAGAAUCCCGUAUUUGACCGUUACUUUCCAGCUGUGUGAUACACUUUCAAAGAGUCGGAUUGUUUGGGAAUGCAGUCCAAGAUGGGUGGUAAAUUUCAUCUAAAGCUAAAUAUUGGCGAGAGACCGAUAGCGAACAAGUACCGUGAGGGAAAGAUGAAAAGAACUUUGAAAAGAGAGUUAAACAGUACGUGAAAUUGUCAAAAGGGAAGCGUUUGACACCAGUGUUGUUUAGUUGAAAAUCAAUUCAAUAGUUUUUGAUUCUAAGUAGUAUUGACUUCAUCAGCUUGCUGCUUUCUUCUCAGAAAUUAUUGAAUGCACUUUUCAGUUAACAAGUCAACAUCAAUUUCUUUUGUUGUAAAAGGGUAAGAGGAAGGUGGCUUGCGCUUCGGCUCAAGUGUUUAUAGCCUUUUAUCUCUGCAAUCGGAGAGAUUGAGGUCUGCAGCGUAGAUCCUUCGGGGUUAGAUACAUUGGUGCUAAGCUAUAGCCUUGUAUAGACAACUUGUUGACUAUGCUCAGUCAUGUAGCUUACUCGCUGAUGCUAUUUUACCUACGCUUAGGAUGUUGAAUCUGUGCGAGACUAC
rnacentral:rRNA from 1 species